rnacentral:rRNA from 1 species
UACGGGGGGGGCAAGCGUUGCUCGGAAUUACUGGGCGUAAAGGGCGCGUAGGCGGCCAACUAAGUCCGACGUGAAAUCCCAAGGCUUAACCUUGGAACUGCGUCGGAUACUGGAUGGCUUGAAUUCGGGAGAGGGAUGCAGAAUUCCAGGUGUAGCGGUGAAAUGCGUAGAUAUCUGGAGGAAUACCGGUGGCGAAGGCGGCAUCCUGGACCGACAUUGACGCUGAUGAGCGAAAGCUAGGGGAGCAAACGGG